ACAGCUGAUGCAGUUAAAGCUCGUAGUUGGAUUUCGGGCGGGUGACGGUGGUCCGCCUCUGGUGUGCACUGCUGUUCAUCCGCCUUUCUGUCGGGGACGGGCUCCUGGGCUUCACUGUCCGGGACUCGGGUUCGACGAUGUUACUUUGAGUAAAUUAGAGUGUUCAAAGCAGGCGAUCGCCCUGAAUACAUUAGCAUGGAAUAGCACGAUAGGACUCUGGCCUAUUCUGCUGGUCUGUAGGACCGGAGUAAUGAUUAAGAGGGACAGUCGGGGGCAUUCAUAUUUCAUUGUCAGAGGUGAAAUUCUUGGAUUUAUGAAAGAUGAACUUCUGCGAAAGCAUUUGCCAAGGAUGUUUUCAUUGAUCAAGAACGAAAGUUGGGGGGCUCGAAGAAA
rnacentral:rRNA from 1 species